rfam:Candidatus Moranbacteria bacterium RBG_13_45_13 RBG_13_scaffold_3011, whole genome shotgun sequence.
CUUAUUGAGAGUUUGAUCCUGGCUCAGGAUGAACGCUGGCGGCGUGGAUAAGGCAUGCAAGUCGAUCGCUACACUUCGGUGUGGCGAGGCAAACGGGUUAGUAAUGCAUAGGAACGUACCCUCGAGUCUCGAAUAAUCCCUCGAAAGGGGGAAUAAUGCGAGAUAGUUCUCUUCGGAGUA